CAGCAGCCGCGGGAAUACGAAGGGUGCAAGCGUUAAUCGGAAUUACUGGGCGUAAAGCGUGCGUAGGCGGUUGUUUAAGUCUGUUGUGAAAUCCCCGGGCUCAACCUGGGGACUACAUUUGAGACUGUAUGGCUAGAGUGUGUCAGAGGGGGGUAGAAUUCCACGUGUAGCAGUGAAAUGCGUAGAUAUGUGGAGGAAUACCGACGGCGGAGGCAGCCCCCUGGGAUAACACUGACGCUCAUGCACGAAAGCGUGGGGAGCAAACAGGAUUAGAUACCCCCGUAGUCCCUGUCUCUUAUAC
rnacentral:rRNA from 1 species